rnacentral:misc_RNA from 1 species
AACGCACAUUGCGCCCUUUGGUAUUCCAAAGGGCAUGCCUGUUCGAGCGUCAUUUGUACCUUCAAGCUUUGCUUGGUGUUGGGCGUUUUUUGUCUCCCUCUUUCUGGGAGACUCGCCUUAAAACGAUUGGCAGCCGGCCUACUGGUUUCGGAGCGCAGCACAUAUUUUGCGCUUUGUAUCAGGAGAAAAGGACGGUAAUCCAUCAAGACUUCUACAUUUUUAACUUUUGACCUCGGAUCAGGUAGGGAUACCCGCUGAACUUAA